rnacentral:rRNA from 1 species
AAUAGAUACCCGGGUAGUCCACCCCGUAAACGUUGGGAACUAGUUGUGGGGUCCAUUCCACGGAUUCCGUGACGCAGCUAACGCAUUAAGUUCCCCGCCUGGGGAGUACGGCCGCAAGGCUAAAACUCAAAGGAAUUGACGGGGACCCGCACAAGCGGCGGAGCAUGCGGAUUAAUUCGAUGCAACGCGAAGAACCUUACCAAGGCUUGACAUAUACGAGAACGGGCCAGAAAUGGUCAACUCUUUGGACACUCGUAUACAGGUGGUGCAUGGUUGUCGUCAGCUCGUGUCGUGAGAUGUUGGGUUAAGUCCCGCAACGAGCGCAACCCUCGUUCUAUGUUGCCAGCACGUUAUGGUGGGAACUCAUGGGAUACUGCCGGGGUCAACUCGGAGGAAGGUGGGGAUGACGUCAAAUCAUCAUGCCCCUUAUGUCUUGGGCUUCACGCAUGCUACAAUGGCCGGUACAAAGGGCUGCGAUGCCGUAAGGUGGAGCGAAUCCCAAAAAGCCGGUCCCAGUUCGGAUUGAGGUCUGCAACUCGACCUC